GGCAUUGUGGCUCAGCGGUAGAGUGCUCAUCUAGCACCUGGGAGGCCCUGGGUUUGAUCCUCAGCACCA
rnacentral:tRNA from 1 species